ACGCUUGAAGUCAGUCGCGUCGGCCAGGAAUCAGCCUUGCUUUUGCUUGGUGUACUUUCUUGUUGAUGGGUCAGCAUCAAUUUCGACCAUCGGAUAAAGUCGUUGGGAAUGUGGCAUCUUCGGAUGUGUUAUAGCCCAGCGUCGCAUACGGUGGUUGGGAUUGAGGAACUCAGCACUCCGCGAGGCCGGGUCUCUCGAGAUCACGUCCGUGCUUAGGAUGCUGGCAUAAUGGCUUUAAUCGACCCGUCUUGAAACACGGACCAAGGAGUC
rnacentral:rRNA from 1 species